rnacentral:rRNA from 1 species
AUUGAACGCUGGCGGCAUGCUUUACACAUGCAAGUCGAACGGUAACAGGGAGCUUGCUCCGCUGACGAGUGGCGAACGGGUGAGUAAUGCAUCGGAACGUGCCGUGUAAUGGGGGAUAACGUAGCGAAAGUUACGCUAAUACCGCAUACGCCCUGAGGGGGAAAGUGGGGGACCGCAAGGCUCACGUUAUACGAGCGGCCGAUGUCGGAUUAGCUAGUUGGUGGGGUAAAGGCCUACCAAGGCGACGAUCCGUAGCGGGUCUGAGAGGAUGAUCCGCCGCACUGGGACUGAGACACGGCCCAGACUCCUACGGGAGGCAGCAGUGGGGAAUUUUGGACAAUGGGGGGCAACCCUGAUCCAGCCAUGCCGCGUGAGUGAAGAAGGCCU